GCCGCGCCGGGUAAACACCGGGUGGGAGGUGCGGGCGGGGACCGUGAGCCCUUUACCGGGCGGUGCGGCCUGGCCCGGCCUGAGCGGCCUUCCGCCGCCUGCAGACCCGGAGGGGCCGCAGUGCCCGGCCCUGCGAUCCCGGUGUGGCCGCGCGGAGCCCAAAGCCACGCGGGCCCGAGGCGAGGAGACCUCUGCUGGCCCGGGGACCCGCAAAGACACCCCGCUCUGCCCCAGCCACCCAGUGACGGUGUCCACUUGAAGCUUCCUUCUACCUCCAAAGUCCAGUGCCUAAGGAAAGUAACUGAGAAGGUCUGCAAUUCAGAAAGCACUCAUUCGUUAACCACUUGUCGAUUCUCCUGCGAUGGUGCCGGGAUGAGAUUUGAGUAAUACAGACCAGAAAGAAUAAUAAAGGCCAGCACGUCAUUCAAGAAGCACUCUGGGUUUCGCUGUUCAUACCUGAAGAUGCAGCAGUGUCAGCUGAACUCCCAGUUGUUCUUUAAAGAGUGCAAAAAGUGCACCGGGAUCUUGGCGAGACUUUAAUAACAACCGUAAUUUACCAUCUUCUUAAAUGUAAUGAGGGUAACAUUUUAAGAUCUUCUCUUAGAAAAGUGCUUAAGUGCUGGGUAUGGUGGUAGACUCCUAUAAUCUCGGCCAACCCGGAGGUUUAUGCAGGAGGAUCAUAAAUUUUAGGCCACCCUGGGCAAUUUAGAGACGCUCUGUCUCAAAGCCUGUAACCCCAGCAUCGAGGUAGAGGCCAGCCUGAACUACAUAGGCCACCAAAAACAAAAAAAGAAGUCAUCAAAAUAAUCCGUAGGUUGGAUUGGAUGCCUGGUAUAGCAACGGUUGGGGUGUCCCCUUAAAGAAGAAUUUUAAACAACCGUGAAACUAUCUUCACCCUUGCGGCUCCCUUCCCUUGUCGUUCACCGUCUUUUCUGUGUCUUUUCUGUCUCGCUCAGCUUCUAACUCGCUCCCUUUUCCAGGCCCUCGUCCUCCACGUACAGAGUGUGCCUUUGUUCAGUCUACAGUGUUGCUGCUGCGUGUCUCUGAAACUAUUUUCCAUAGAUUCGCCUUGUAAUCUUUCUAAAACCAAAACAAGGACAGACUGCAGAAAGGAAACCAUGCCCUGAUGUGCCUAUGAGCUUAUCUUCCGUAAGUUUCAUCAAGAGACAGAAGGAAACAGUUCACAUACGCUUGCAAAUCUGCUCGCAGCUCCACUUCCUAUUUCACAACCUAAUCUCAGAAUACCACAGGGCCCACGGUAUGCUGAUCACCACCAACAGCAGAUGGAGUCAGAUAAAAAGAGCUCGCUCGCUUGUGUGUGUUUUAAAAGGACCUGACGGAGAAGAGGCAACAUUGCCUCCAGUUGGUUUUUAAAGAACACGGGUAGCAUGUGUCUGGAGCCUGCUCGGAGCUCAGUAGAUCCUUUUCGGAAUUUUGACACUUAGCUGGCUUCUCCUAAAGUAGCAGAGCGUUCCAAAAAGUAGCACUCAAAUGUAAACUUGACACACAUGCGGAGUUGAGUCUGAUUUGUUUGCGCAUAUAUCCCGAGUUCCUGAAAGCUCUUGGCAUAGAUUAGAUGUGGAAGAAAUUUCUGUUGAAUGUAUUUUUGAGUGAAAAUGAACCUUGGAUCGAACUCAGACCUUGCCCUUGUGAGACAGACACCAACCUCGAAGCCAGGAUUGGAAUGCAAGACAUGUACCUGGCGGUGAAGAAAGAAAGCAGCCACGGGGGUGUGAGAUGACACAGGGAGGUAGUGUCCCGUGUCCAGGAGGUGUGUGAUCUACCCACGGCAUCUGGAGCUUCAGCCCCCUAGGAAAAUUGUGGGCACAGGGAGGCAGUAACCUCUCUUCUACUUUCAAAUAAAACUUAGUAGCACAAAGCUGAAAUACACAUUGACUUUGUGGGAUUUUAACACAUGUGCAGGAUGGACCCAGCAUCCCAAUUGUAUUUUUCUAGAACUGCUGAAUGAUUCCUCUGGCUCCACAGUAGCAGGGGGGCUUUUGCCACUUUUAAUGUCAGCUUGUGAGCUUUAUGUUGCACACAGU